UGAGCUCGAUGAGUAGGGCGGGACACGUGGUAUCCUGUCUGAAUAUGGGGGGACCAUCCUCCAAGGCUAAAUACUCCUGACUGACCGAUAGUGAACCAGUACCGUGAGGGAAAGGCGAAAAGAACCCCGGCGAGGGGAGUGAAAAAGAACCUGAAACCGUGUACGUACAAGCAGUGGGAGCACCCUUUGGGGUGUGACUGCGUACCUUUUGUAUAAUGGGUCAGCGACUUAUAUUCUGUAGCAAGGUUAACCGUAUAGGGGAGCCGGAGGGAAACCGAGUCUUAACCGGGCGUUAAGUUGCAGGGUAUAGACCCGAAACCCGGUGAUCUAGCCAUGGGCAGGUUGAAGGUUGGGUAACACUAACUGGAGGACCGAACCGACUAAUGUUGAAAAAUUAGCGGAUGACCUGUGGCUGGGGGUGAAAGGCCAAUCAAACCGGGAGAUAGCUGGUUCUCCCCGAAAGCUAUUUAGGUAGCGCCUCGUGAAUUCAUCUCCGGGGGUAGAGCACUGUUUCGGCUAGGGGGCCAUCCCGGCUUACCAACCCGAUGCAAACUGCGAAUACCGGAGAAUGUUAUCACGGGAGACACACGGCGGGUGCUAACGUCCGUCGUGAAGAGGGAAACAACCCAGACCGCCAGCUAAGGUCCCAAAGUCAUGGUUAAGUGGGAAACGAUGUGGGAAGGCCCAGACAGCCAGGAUGUUGGCUUAGAAGCAGCCAUCAUUUAAAGAAAGCGUAAUAGCUCACUGGUCGAGUCGGCCUGCGCGGAAGAUGUAACGGGGCUAAACCAU
rnacentral:rRNA from 1 species